GACGAACGCUGGCGGCGUGCUUAACACAUGCAAGUCGAACGGAAAGGCCCUGCUUUUGUGGGGUGCUCGAGUGGCGAACGGGUGAGUAACACGUGAGUAACCUGCCCUUGACUUUGGGAUAACUUCAGGAAACCGGGGCUAAUACCGGAUAGGAGCUCCUGCUGCAUGGUGGGGGUUGGAAAGUUUCGGCGGUUGGGGAUGGACUCGCGGCUUAUCAGCUUGUUGGUGGGGUAGUGGCUUACCAAGGCUUUGACGGGUAGCCGGCCUGAGAGGGUGACCGGCCACAUUGGGACUGAGAUACGACCCAGACUCCUACUGGAGGCAGCAGUGCAGAAUAUUACACAAUGGGCGGAAGCCUGAUGCAGCAACGCCGCGUGCGGGAUGACGGCCUUCGGGUUGUAAACCGCUUUCGCCUGUGACGAAGCGUGAGUGACGGUAAUGGGUAAAGAAGCACCGGCUAACUACGUG
rnacentral:rRNA from 1 species